rnacentral:rRNA from 1 species
AAAAGCUUUUAAGGGCAGAUGGUGGAUGCCUUGGGUGAUAGAGGCGAUGAAGGACGUACUAAGCUGCGAUAAGCUAUGGGGAGCUGCUAAGAAGCUUUGAUCCAUAGAUUUCCGAAUGGGGCAACCCAAUACAUAGAGAUAUGUAUUACCUUUAAUGGAGCGAACCUAGCGAAGUGAAACAUCUCAGUAGCUAGAGGAAAAGAAAUCGUAAUGAGAUUCUCCUAGUAGCGGCGAGCGAACGGGGAAGAGGGCAAACCAGUAGUUUGCUACUGGGGUUGAGGACUGCAAUAUCCACUUGAAUAAUGUAGCAGAAGUGUUUGGAAAAACACAUCACAGAGGGUGAUAGUCCCGUAUGCGAAAUAUUAUUCAUAGGUAGCAGGAUCCAGAGUAGGCCAGGACACGUGAAAUCCGGGCUGAAGCCGGGGAGACCACUCUCCAACCCUAAAUACUACUAUCACACCGAUAGCGAACAAGUACCGUGAGGGAAAGGUGAAAAGAACCGCAGUGAGCGGAGUGAAAUAGAACCUGAAACCAUCUGCCUACAAUCAUUCGGAGCCCUAUGAUUUAUCAGGGUGACGGACUGCCUUUUGCAUAAUGAUCCUGCGAGUUGUGGUAUCUGGCAAGGUUAAGCACACGCGAAGCCGUAGCGAAAGCGAGUCUUAAUAGGGCGUUUAGUCAGAUGCUGCAGACCCGAAGCCAAGUGAUCUAUCCAUGGCCAAGUUGAAGCGAGUGUAAUAGCUCGUGGAGGACUGAACUCGUACCCAUUGAAACGGGUUGGGAUGAGCUGUGGAUAGGGGUGAAAGGCCAAACAAACUUGGUGAUAGCUGGUUCUCUUCGAAAUAUAUUUAGGUAUAGCCUCAAGUGAUAGUAAUAGGGGGUAGAGCUCUGAUUGGGCUAGGGCUGCUCACCGCGGUACCAACCCCUGUCAAACUACGAAUACCUAUUGCCUUAUCUUGGGAGUCAGGCGGUGGGUGAUAAAAUCAAUCGUCAAAAGGGGAACAACCCAGACUACCAACUAAGGUCCCAAAGUUCUAUUCUAAGUGGAAAAUGAUGUGAAGUUACUCAGACAACCAGGAGGUUGGCUUAGAAGCAGCCAUCCUUUAAAGAAAGCGUAACAGCUCACUGGUCUAGUGAUUUUGCGCAGAAAAUAUAACGGGGCUAAGAUAGACACCGAAGUUGUAGAUUCUAUGCUGGUGCAUAGAGUGGUAGAAGAGCGUUCGUAUCAGCGUUGAAGGCAUACCGGUAAGGAGUGCUGGAGCGAUGCGAAGUGAGCAUGCAGGAAUGAGUAGCGAUAAAAGUGGUGAGAAUCCACUUCGCCGAAAGUCUAAGGUUUCCUACGCGAUGCUCGUCAUCGUAGGGUUAGUCGGGUCCUAAGACAAGUCAGAAAUGGGUAGUCGAUGGAAAAUGGGUUAAUAUUCCCAUACCAACAUUAGUGUGCGAUGGGGGGACGCAUAGGGCUAAGUAGCGUUAGCUGAUGGAAGUGCUAAUUUAAAAGCGUAGAUUGAGAGAUAGGUAAAUCCGCUCUUGUAUUCGAAACUUGAAUAGCUUGUUGCGAUCUUCGGAUCAAGAUGAGUGCUACUGACGCCGUCGUGCCAAGAAAAGCCUCUAAGUUUAGCUAAUGUUGCCCGUACCGCAAACCGACACAGGUAGAUGAGAUGAGUAUUCUAAGGCGCGUGAAAGAACUCUGGUUAAGGAACUCUGCAAACUAGCACCGUAAGUUCGCGAUAAGGUGUGCCACAGCAAUGUGGUCUCAGCAAAGAGUCCCUCCCGACUGUUUACCAAAAACACAGCACUUUGCAAACUCGUAAGAGGAAGUAUAAGGUGUGACGCCUGCCCGGUGCUCGAAGGUUAAGAGGAUUCGUUAGCAGUAAUGCGAAGCGUUGAAUUGAAGCCCGAGUAAACGGCGGCCGUAACUAUAACGGUCCUAAGGUAGCGAAAUUCCUUGUCGGUUAAAUACCGACCUGCAUGAAUGGCGUAACGAGAUGGGAGCUGUCUCAACCAGGGAUUCAGUGAAAUUGUAGUGGAGGUGAAAAUUCCUCCUACCCGCGGCAAGACGGAGAGACCCCGUGGACCUUUACUACAGCUUGGCACUGCCGAUGGGAGCAUUAUGCGCAGGAUAGGUGGGAGGCUUUGAAAUCUUCACUCUGGUGGAGAUGGAGCCAUCCUUGAGAUACCACCCUUAAUGUUUCUGUCUGCUAACUGGCUAGAGUUAUCCUCUAGCAGGACAAUGCCUGGUGGGUAGUUUGACUGGGGCGGUCGCCUCCUAAAAAGUAACGGAGGCUUGCAAAGGUUGGCUCAUUGCGGUUGGAAAUCGCAAGUAGAGUGUAAUGGCAUAAG